GAAUAUUGGACAAUGGGCGCAAGCCUGAUCCAGCCAUGCCGCGUGCAGGAAGAAUGCCCUAUGGGUUGUAAACUGCUUUUAUUUGGGAAUAAACCUCCUUACGUGUAGGGAGCUGAAUGUACCAAACGAAUAAGCACCGGCUAACUCCGUGCCAGCAGCCGCGGUAAUACGGAGGGUGCAAGCGUUAUCCGGAAUCAUUGGGUUUAAAGGGUCCGCAGGCGGACUUAUAAGUCAGUGGUGAAAGCCUACAGCUUAACUGUAGAACUGCCAUUGAUACUGUAAGUCUUGAAUUCGGUCGAAGUGGGCGGAAUAUGUCAUGUAGCGGUGAAAUGCUUAGAUAUGACAUAGAACACCGAUAGCGAAGGCAGCUCACUAGGCCUGGAUUGACGCUCAGGGACGAAAGCGUGGGGAGCGAACAGG
rnacentral:rRNA from 1 species